AUGGCUCGCAAGAAGGUGGCCCUCCGGUACAUCCGCAAUGACUCGGCGCGGCAGAAUACCUUGAAGAAGCGCAGCGAGAACCUGAUGAAGAAGGCCGAUGAGGUGACCACCUUGUGCAAGGCCAAGGCCUGCGUGCUGGUGUAUGGCGAGGGCGCAACGGUGCCAGAGGUGUUCCCAUCCCAUGCUGAGGCGGUGGCUAUCUUGAAAAGGUUUAAGAGCGUGCCGGAGGUGGCGCGGCUAAAGAAAACGAUGGACCAGGAGAGUGUCCUUAGUCAGCGCGUCGCAAAGCUCCGAGACCAGGUCCAGAAGACUAGGUGCGAGCUCCAAGACCGUGAGACCAAGUUUCUCCUGCAUGAGGCCAUGGUCAGCGGCCGCCUCCCUGUAAACAUCGAGGAGCUCACAACCAUGGGUUGGAAGUUGGAGUUAAUGCUCAAAGGCCUGGGCGAACGCAUCACAAAAAUGAGCGGGCAGCCGCCAGUCUACCAAACGCAGGCACCAUACAUCACCGGCAACAUGGACAUGGGGCCUCCAGCCAUGUAUCGGGUGUCGCCGCCGCAGCAGGAGGGUUGGCUUGAGACAGUGAGGUCCGAAGGGGACCUUGGCACCCAGAUCUACAAUGGCCAGAGUACUGGUGGCCAUGAUGGCACCAACUUCGGCUUCUUUCCUAGUCAUAUGAAUAUGUAA
rnacentral:rRNA from 1 species